AUUCUCCGUCGGGUGAGGAGUGGUCUGCGUGGAGCGUGUGUUCGGCCACGUGUGGUGAGGGCUGGCAGAGCCGCACACGCUUCUGCGUCUCCGUGUCGUACAGCACGCAGUGCAGUGGGCCACUGCGCGAACAGAGACCCUGCAAUAACACUGCUGUGUGUCCAGAACAUGGGGCGUGGGGCGAGUGGACUCCAUGGAGCUUGUGUUCAUCAACAUGCGGCCGUGGCUACAGGGAACGCAACCGCUCCUGCAAGCCACCCCAGUUUGGAGGAAACCCCUGUGAUGGUCCUGAGAAACAGACAAAAUUCUGCAACAUCGCUGUAUGCCCAGUGGAUGGCGUGUGGAACGAGUGGUCCAGUUGGAG